rnacentral:rRNA from 1 species
GACGAACGCUGGCGGCAUGCCUAAUACAUGCAAGUCGAGCGAACAGAUGAAGUGCUUGCACUUCUGACGUUAGCGGCGAACGGGUGAGUAACACGUAAGGAAUCUACCUAUAAGCGGGGGAUAACAUUCGGAAACGGGUGCUAAUACCGCAUAAUAUCUUCUUCCGCAUGGAAGAAGAUUGAAAGACGGCUCUGCUGUCACUUAUAGAUGACCUUGCGGUGCAUUAGUUAGUUGGUGGGGUAACGGCCUACCAAGACGAUGAUGCAUAGCCGACCUGAGAGGGUGAUCGGCCACAUUGGGACUGAGACACGGCCCAAACUCCUACGGGAGGCAGCAGUAGGGAAUCUUCCGCAAUGGGCGAAAGCCUGACGGAGCAAUGCCGCGUGAGUGAAGAAGGCCUUCGGGUCGUAAAACUCUGUUAUAAGGGAAGAACAAAUUGUAGAGUAACUGCUACAGUCUUGACGGUAUCUUAUCAGAAAGCCACGGCUAACUACGUGCCAGCCGCCGCCGUAA